UGAGCGCCAUGCUUUCUAUUUUUCUCCAUUUUCUUCUCUUUUUCUUUACUUUUUUUUAUUUUCCACUUUGCUUGCCUAUACAUCUCUUAUUCGAUAAAUACCUGAAAUAAACAUAAAAUACUGCGUAAUAAUAAGUGUUAAUCAAGUAAAAAGCAAUGCAUAUGAAGCCAAAUAUACGAUACGCUUUCGCGUUAUCAACAUCUUUUUAGC
rnacentral:lncRNA from 1 species